GGAUAAUCUACCCUUUAGGACCGGGAUAACCCUGGGAAACUGGGGCUAAUACUGGAUAGGCAAUUUUUCCUGCAAUGGUUUUUUGUUUAAAUGUUUUUUCGCCUAAGGAUGAGUCUGCGGCCGAUUAGGUAGUUGGUUAGGUAAUGGCUUACCAAGCCGUUGAUCGGUACGGGUUGUGAGAGCAAGAGCCCGGAGAUGGAACCUGAGACAAGGUUCCAGGCCCUACGGGGUGCAGCAGGCGCGAAACCUCCGCAAUGUGAGAAAUCGCGACGGGGGGAUCCCAAGUGCCAUUCUUAACGGGAUGGCUUUUCAUUAGUGUAAAGAGCUUUUGGAAUAAGAGCUGGGCAAGACCGGUGCCAGCCGCCGCGGUAACACCGGCAGCUCUAGUGGUAACAAUUUUUAUUGGGCCUAAAGCGUCCGUAGCCGGUUUAAUAAGUCUCUGGUGAAAUCCUGUAGCUUAACUGUGGGAAUUGCUGGAGAUACUAUUAGACUUGAGACCGGGAGAGGUUAGAGGUACUCCCAGGGUAGAGGUGAAAUUCUGUAAUCCUGGGAGGACCGCCUGUUGCGAAGGCGUCUAACUGGAACGGUUCUGACGG
rnacentral:rRNA from 1 species